GGAGCAGGCCCGCUGUGUGUAUACAGGCCCGGACACCACCAGUAUGGAAGACUUACCUGCCCAGUGCCCACUGCUGAUGCUGCCCUUUUAAAGUUGUGAAUGCAAAACACACUGAAGAGACUGCAGCCGGCGCGCACCUCCUUGUACAGCUUACGGUGACAUCAUCACAAGCAUGUGUGACAUCACAGAGUUCUAAACCAUCUUCAGAUACUCACCAUCUGGGUCCGGAGACAAGUCGGCGUUACACCUGUGACCACCAUAUGGAUUCUGCUGAAUGUACAGGGUAAUUUAGGAUGUCGAACAUCCCACACCAUUUUAUGAUUGCAACUUUAUGGGAUCCUGGGCACAGUAUUGGGGAUGACCUAGUUUAGUAAAGGGCAUAAGAUAUUUAUUUAUUUAAUCACAUUGUAUUAGGGAGCGCAUAAUGGGGGUUAUGCAUGUCCCAGUGGGCAGCACUGACGAACUAUAUAUGGAACCACAUAGUGAAUGAGUCCUAGUUGUGGGACCAGAACACGGCGAUGGUUCCCUGAGAACAGGUUGUAGACCUGAUAUGAAAGUGUUGUCAGACUAGGCUGCCGAUAUCACUGGUUUCUGUCCAUAGGACAGACCCCUACAAAAUGAGCCAUGGCCGCAAACCAUAUACAAAGUAGUAUGCUAUACCUUUUGAGUUUAACAUAUGAUAUAUUUAUUUAAAAAUGAUUCUUGCCCAUAAUUAUAUGUUGGUAUGGUCAUCCGCAGUACUUUACCUUGCCCAUAAACUAUCCAGUACUUAACAUGGCGUCUGUACUUUAGUUGUUGGUGUGCAUGUGCGCACAGAAUAUUGGCACAUGCGCUGUGGAAAUAUGGACACCUUACGCUGAAUUAUCACUCACCCGGCAA